rnacentral:rRNA from 1 species
GGAAUCUUGCGCAAUGGGGGAAACCCUGACGCAGCAACGCCGCGUGAGUGAGGAAGGCUUUCGGGUCGUAAAGCUCUGUCAGAUGGGAAGAAAUGGUUGGAAGCUAAUACCUUCCAUCCUUGACGGUACCAUCAGAGGAAGCACCGGCUAACUCCGUGCCAGCAGCCGCGGUAAUACGGGGGGUGCAAGCGUUGUUCGGAAUCAUUGGGCGUAAAGCGCGCGCAGGCGGCUUGGUAAGUCAGAUGUGAAAGCCCUGGGCUUAACCCAGGAAGUGCAUUUGAUACUGCCUCGCUAGAGUACGGGAGAGGAAAGUGGAAUUCCUGGUGUAGAGGUGAAAUUCGUAGAUAUCAGGAGGAACACCGGUGGCGAAGGCGACUUUCUGGCCCGAUACUGACGCUCAGGCGCGAAAGCGUGGGGAGCAAACAGGAUUAGA